GACAGAGGGGGCAAGCGUUGCUCGGAAUUACUGGGCGUAAAGGGCGCGUAGGCGGGACGGAAAGUCGGUCGUGAAAUCCUCCGGCUCAACCGGAGAACGGCGAUCGAUACUUCCGUUCUUGAGGGUUGCAGAGGAGACUGGAAUUCCCGGUGUAGCGGUGAAAUGUGUAGAGAUCGGGAGGAACACCAGUGGCGAAGGCGACUACCUGGCCUGUUCUUGACGCUGAGGCACGAAAGCGUGGGGAGCGAACAGG
rnacentral:rRNA from 1 species